rnacentral:rRNA from 1 species
CAUGCAGUCGAGCGGGGUUUUCGGACCUAGCGGCGGACGGGUGAGUAAUGCGUAGGAAGCUACCCGAUAGAGGGGGAUACCAGUUGGAAACGACUGUUAAUACCGCAUAAUGUCUACGGACCAAAGUGUGGGACCUUCGGGCCACAUGCUAUCGGAUGCGCCUACGUGGGAUUAGCUAGUUGGUGAGGUAAUGGCUCACCAAGGCGACGAUCUCUAGCUGGUUUGAGAGGAUGAUCAGCCACACUGGAACUGAGACACGGUCCAGACUCCUACGGGAGGCAGCAGUGGGGAAUAUUGGACAAUGGGCGCAAGCCUGAUCCAGCCAUGCCGCGUGUGUGAAGAAGGCCUUCGGGUUGUAAAGCACUUUCAGCGAGGAGGAAGGGUUGGAUGUUAAUAGCAUUCAAUUUUGACGUUACUCGCAGAAGAAGCACCGGCUAACUCUGUGCCAGCAGCCGCGGUAAUACAGAGGGUGCAAGCGUUAAUCGGAAUUACUGGGCGUAAAGCGCACGCAGGCGGUUGGUUAAGUCAGAUGUGAAAGCCCCGGGCUCAACCUGGGAAUUGCAUUUGAAACUGGCCAACUAGAGUAUGUGAGAGGGGGGUAGAAUUCCAAGUGUAGCGGUGAAAUGCGUAGAGAUUUGGAGGAAUACCAGUGGCGAAGGCGGCCCCCUGGCACAAUACUGACGCUCGGGUGCGAAAGCGU